GGCGGCGUGCUUAACACAUGCAAGUCGAACGAUGAAGCCCUUCGGGGUGGAUUAGUGGCGAACGGGUGAGUAACACGUGGGCAAUCUGCCCUUCACUCUGGGACAAGCCCUGGAAACGGGGUCUAAUACCGGAUAUGAGCCUGGGAGGCAUCUCCUGGGUUGUAAAGCUCCGGCGGUGAAGGAUGAGCCCGCGGCCUAUCAGCUUGUUGGUGAGGUAGCGGCUCACCAAGGCGACGACGGGUAGCCGGCCUGAGAGGGCGACCGGCCACACUGGGACUGAGACACGGCCCAGACUCCUACGGGAGGCAGCAGUGGGGAAUAUUGCACAAUGGGCGAAAGCCUGAUGCAGCGACGCCGCGUGAGGGAUGACGGCCUUCGGGUUGUAAACCUCUUUCAGCAGGGAAGAAGCGAGAGUGACGGUACCUGCAGAAGAAGCGCCGGCUAACUACGUGCCAGCAGCCGCGGUAAUACGUAGGGCGCAAGCGUUGUCCGGAAUUAUUGGGCGUAAAGAGCUCGUAGGCGGCUUGUCACGUCGAUUGUGAAAGCCCGAGGCUUAACUUCGGGUCUGCAGUCGAUACGGGCUAGCUAGAGUGUGGUAGGGGAGAUCGGAAUUCCUGGUGUAGCGGUGAAAUGCGCAGAUAUCAGGAGGAACACCGGUGGCGAAGGCGGAUCUCUGGGCCAUUACUGACGCUGAGGAGCGAAAGCGUGGGGAGCGAACAGGAUUAGAUACCCUGGUAGUCCACGCCGUAAACGGUGGGCACUAGGUGUUGGCGACAUUCCACGUCGUCGGUGCCGCAGCUAACGCAUUAAGUGCCCCGCCUGGGGAGUACGGCCGC
rnacentral:rRNA from 1 species